AUGUCUGAUGUUUUUUUGUGGAGUUUUGGUUUUGUUUCAUCAGCGAGCAGCAGAUGGACACAGUUGCAAGUUAAACAUUACAACACUUGUAAGGUGCUCAACAGGGCCUUGAGGUCAGUGUCUGAUGUUUCUGUGGAGUUUUGGUUCUGUUUCAUCUACGAGCAGAUGAACAGAGGUGCGAGGUGCCUAGGUGAUCGUUAUGUUAGGUACGAGGUGCCUAGGUCAGAUUGUUGCUUUGUUUCUGCAGGAGAUUAUUUGUUUUGGAAAACACAUUAUAAACACAUUAUGUUAGUGAGCUUUCUCUUAGAUCUUCUUGUGUGA